AAUUUGCAAAAGACCAGAGUAACUCAAUUUCAAUGUGUAAAAGACAGCAAAUAGGUCACUGAGAAUGGAAGUAAAAGUAGCAACAUCGGGUAUUAGCAGGGCCACAACAGAAGUAAAAUAAACACUUUAAUCAGGAAAUUGGGACCAUCAGCAUUACCUUUCUGUCACCCAUAGUAGCAACUGAGGUUUCCGACCUCAUCCAGGUAACACAGAUGGAGAAAGAACUGCAACGGGAGCUCAGUGAGGAGCAGCCCUCAUGGGAAGCUGUGGAGGCACCAGGAAAUAAUUGCAGGGCACAAUGCAAUGCCAACACAGGUGUGAUUGACAUUACUGGCAGCUGAGAGAACUACUGCUUCUGGCCUUUUUCUAAAGGUAGCAUUGUCUAGUGAAGACUGACAGAUUUCCUUACAAUCAGUUGAUAACCUUGGAAAAAGCAGAGAAGAAAAGCUGUGUCUUUCAGAUGCCUUCAGAAGAAAGGAGACCAUAUGGUUGCUUCACAGCUGCCUCUGUGACUUCAUCUUUGUGACUCUGGAUGCCCAGCAAGACCUCCUGGAGUUCACCUGCAGGACCUCUUCCCAUCCAAUUUUAAAUUGUUCCUGUCAUUUCUACCUGACUACAUGUAAACUUCCUAUUGUUUUCUCCCUACUCUCUGUCAACUUUUUUCACUCUUCUUAGAUAGUAAACUACUCAGAGCAGAAACCUUCCUUCUUGAAUGUUUGGCAAGUGCCUAGCAUACAGUGGGGACUACUAUAAAUGUGCAACAAGUAACUCUAGACCUUACAUUGCAUACAUAUUCAAACCAUAUGGGAAGUGAUAUACAGAGCAGGGUUGCAGGAGCCAUCUCUUAACUGCAGUCACAGAAGAUCAGAAGAGGGAGGUGGAAGAGGGAAAGAAUGUAAAUUUCAGGUGGGAAAGGUUAAGAUCACAUGAAGACUUUCAUUCAGUGAAAAUUUUUGUGAAAUUUCCCCCUUUAAUGAGCAUUUUUCUCCUUUGCCUCCAUUUCCUCUGAUAGUGGCUGGGGGUUUUUGCAGCAAAGGAAAACAGUUUUGAAAUGGAUACCUUUUUCUGUUUCGUAUGAACCACCAGUAGCACUGGUUUAAUGAGACCUCAGUCCUAAAUGUCUUGUGGAUCUAAAGAAAAAU
rnacentral:lncRNA from 1 species